ensembl:snRNA U1 U1 spliceosomal RNA
AAAAUUAGGAGAGAAUGUAGCAUUUACUGGAUCACAAAGGUGCUUUUCCCAGGGCAAGUCUUAUCCAUUGCACUCCGGAUGUGCUGACCCCUGCAAUUUCCCCAAAUGUGGGAAACUCGAAUGCAUAAUUUGUGGUAGUGGGGGAGUGGGUUCUCACUCUCCCCUG